CAGGUCAAGCGGGAGAAGGCACAUGGUGGAUGCCUUGGCAUCAAGGGCCGAUGAAGGGCGU
rnacentral:rRNA from 1 species